rnacentral:rRNA from 1 species
UACGGGGGGGGCAAGCGUUGUUCGGAAUUACUGGGCGUAAAGGGCUCGUAGGUGGCCAACUAAGUCAGACGUGAAAUCCCCAGGCUCAACUUGGGAACUGCGUCUGAUACUGGAUGGCUUGAAUUCGGGAGAGGGAUGCAGAAUUCCAGGUGUAGCGGUGAAAUGCGUAGAUAUCUGGAGGAACACCCGUGGCGAAAGCGGCGAGCUGGAUCACUACUGACGCUGAGGAACGAAAGCUAGGGGAGCAAACAGG